rnacentral:rRNA from 1 species
GGCCUAACGGCCGGGUAAUACCGCAUACGUUCGUUCGGGGGCAUCCCCGGGCGAGGAAAGCAGCCGCAAGGUUGCGCCGGUGGAGGGUCUCGCGGCCUAUCAGCUAGUUGGUGGGGUCAUGGCCCACCAAGGCGACGACGGGUAGGGGGUCUGAGAGGACGACCCCCCCACAUUGGGACUGAGACACGGCCCAGACUCCUACGGGAGGCAGCAGUGGGGAAUAUUGCGCAAUGGCCGCAAGGCUGACGCAGCGACGCCGCGUGUGGGAUGACGGCNUUCGGGUUGUAAACCACUGUCAGGGGGAACGAAUACGGGACCUCGAAUAGGGGAUCUCGGGUGACGGUACCCCCAAAGGAAGCACCGGCUAA